rnacentral:rRNA from 1 species
GACGUAGGGCGCAAGCGUUGUCCGGAAUUAUUGGGCGUAAAGAGCUCGUAGGCGGCUUGUCGCGUCGACUGUGAAAACCCGUGGCUCAACCAUGCGGUCUGCAGUCGAUACGGGCAGGCUAGAAUUCGGUAGGGGAGACUGGAAUUCCUGGUGUAGCGGUGAAAUGCGUAGAUAUCAGGAGGAAUACCGAUGGCGAAGGCAGGUCUCUGGGCUGACACUGACGCUCAUGCACGAAAGCGUGGGGAGCAAACAGG